UUGAUGUAAAAUCUUUCAGUUUUGAUGGAUCUUAUUACAAGCUUUCAACUCUUCUUAGCACGACUUCUGACAGAACAAAGGUUUGAUAUAUCUUUACACGAUCGCAUAUCACAUAUGAACGAUCGCAUAUCCCACCUGAAAUAUCGAUCACCCUUGGUAAAACAACCGUUUAGAUAUUCUACACGAUUGUUUGCUUAAGGAUACACGAUCAUUUUGUAACUAUUUUUUUUAUUAUCCUUUUUUCUUUUUAUACUAGAAUCAAAAUCAAUUGUUUGAUGAUAUUAACAACAUGUAUGAUGAUCUUCGUGAUGAUUCUAGUCAUCACAAUCUGGACAAGAAUGAUGACCAUCAAAAUAACAAACAUGUGAUCAUCCAUGAGAAUCCAUCUGUUCAAGAGUCACAUCUUCAAGAAUCUAUUGUAGAAACUCAACAGGAACAAAAAUGAACAACGCAAAUCAACAUCAAGAGCAAUCAGGCAGUGAUAUUAGCAUAGAUGGCAGAGAUGCACAUUUGAUAUUAACUAUAAGUAAUAUAGCAGAAAAUAUGGAAGGUCAUACUCAAACAGAAAAGGGACUGCUAGAAAUGAUUGAAAAUCUUCCGUUGGUAAGCCAACCACUUCCACUUUGUGAGAUGCUACCAUUAACUACUGGCAAAGGUCUUGCAUUAGUUUAAUUGGUAUGUGUGCCCUAAAGGGAUAAAAGCUCUUGGCAGUGAAAGACUUUACAAAACCAUUCAUCAAUUUUAAUUUGAAAAUUCCAAAA